rnacentral:rRNA from 1 species
CGAGCGGCAGCACGGGGAGCUUGCUCCCUGGUGGCGAGCGGCGGACGGGUGAGUAAUGCAUAGGAAUCUGCCCGGUAGUGGGGGAUAACGUGGGGAAACCCACGCUAAUACCGCAUACGUCCUACGGGAGAAAGCGGAGGAUCUUCGGACUUCGCGCUAUCGGAUGAGCCUAUGUCGGAUUAGCUAGUUGGUAAGGUAACGGCUUACCAAGGCAACGAUCCGUAGCUGGUCUGAGAGGAUGAUCAGCCACACUGGGACUGAGACACGGCCCACACUCCUACGGGAGGCAGCAGUGGGGAAUAUUGGACAAUGGGCGAAAGCCUGAUCCAGCCAUGCCGCGUGUGUGAAGAAGGCUUUCGGGUUGUAAAGCACUUUCAGCGAGGAAGAAAGCCUCUGGGUUAAUACCCCAGAGGAAGGACAUCACUCGCAGAAGAAGCACCGGCUAACUCCGUGCCAGCAGCCGCGGUAAUACGGAGGGUGCGAGCGUUAAUCGGAAUUACUGGGCGUAAAGCGCGCGUAGGUGGCUUGGCACGCCGGUUGUGAAAGCCCCGGGCUCAACCUGGGAACUGCAUCCGGAACGGCCAGGCUAGAGUGCAGGAGAGGAAGGUAGAAUUCCCGGUGUAGCGGUGAAAUGCGUAGAGAUCGGGAGGAAUACCAGUGGCGAAGGCGGCCUUCUGGCCUGACACUGACACUGAGGUGCGAAAGCGUGGGUAGCAAACAGGAUUAGAUACCCCUGGUAGUCCACGCCGUAAACGAUGUCGACUAGCCGUUGGGACCUUU